GUUAGCAUAACUGGUCGCAGUAUGCCAUAUUCUGCAAACUUCUGCAACGUUUAACUAAUAAAACAGGCAAGGCGAGGAAAACGGACUUGUUGUUUGCCUGUUCAAUCUUUGUCGUCAUUUGUGCGCUGCAACAUUCACGCAGCAAUGAAGUUAAAUUGAACCAACUGAGGAAAAAAAAUUGCUGGCAUGUUCAGCAAUAGGACUAUGAAAACCUUGGGCAAUCAGCAAUAUGGGUCUAUCUUUGUGAAAUCAUCUGUUCUUAUACAUUGAUGGUUGCUGACAUUGCAUAAAUAAGCUUAGCCUUGUUAGCUUAAUGCGUCCUGUACUUAGAUCACAUAUGGGCAGCAGGAUUAGUGCUGUGCUGUGCUGUGAUGGCUCUAAAUAACAAACCUGUUUGGGACAGUACAGCAACCAUAAAGAAAGGCUGUUUAAUUAAUCAAUGCCUGUUCAAUGUCCACAGCUUCACUUCUAAUGUGCAAAACUAUUGAUAAACCAUCUGGGUGUGCUUUCAGAUCUUCCAACGACCGGUUGCAGUGCUACGUCGACAUCGGUGAAAGCACGACGGUGUGUGAUGGAGCAUUGAUUAACUUGGUUGUCUCCCCAAGCCACUCCGAAGCAUCAGAGGCACAAAAAAAGCCGCUGUCUGGUAGUGCGGUUGGACAUGCGGAGAAUGCAGUCAAAGGACAGUACAAGGAAUUGUCAACGUACACACUGCCUCUGAUGCCCAUUGACGUUGCUGCACACCUCUGAAAUAUUACAGCAGGAGGCGUGCCUGACAAUCUUCAAAAGAAAAUUGAAUGGAUUGCCUACAAUUCGUCAUCUCAGACAAUGUACCCAAAUAAAUUGUGCAAUGUUGCUGCAAGGAGCCUCGUAAACCAGUACCCAACACUGAGGGACACAUUGCACCUUGGCCAUUUCUCAUGGUAUAUGUGCCUAAGAAACAAGUACAAAAACAUGCGAAAGUGAAUGCCACCAGGAUGCCCUGAAGUCGAUGCAGAAGUGAAAGCAAGAAAGGCAAGCGAAAUUGUGACACAUGCUCAAAAUCUGGAUUUUGAAGACGGGUGAUA